rfam:Phlebotomus papatasi Contig97038.1, whole genome shotgun sequence.
UUGGAGGAGCUGACGUUUGUCUUAUUUGGUACAUAAUUAAGUUAUCAUAAGACACACGCGGCUAUUCCAG